GGGCCCGCACAAGCGGUGGAGCAUGUGGUUUAAUUCGAUGAUACGCGAGGAACCUUACCAGGGCUUAAAUGUAAGUUGCAUAGAUCAGAGAUGGUCUUUUCUUCGGACUACUUACAAGGUGCUGCAUGGUUGUCGUCAGCUCGUGCCGUGAGGUGUCAGGUUAAGUCCUAUAACGAGCGCAACCCCUGUCGUUAGUUGCCAGCAAGUUAAGUUGGGCACUCUAGCGAGACUGCCAGUGCAAACUGUGAGGAAGGUGGGGAUGACGUCAAAUCAUCACGGCCCUUACGUCCUGGGCUACACACGUGCUACAAUGGCCGGUACAGAGGGAAGCCACCCCGCGAGGGGAGCGGA
rnacentral:rRNA from 1 species